rnacentral:rRNA from 1 species
GACAGAGGGUGCAAACGUUGUUCGGAAUUACUGGGCGUAAAGCGCGUGUAGGCGGCUAUGUAAGUCGGGCGUGAAAUCCCACGGCUCAACCGUGGAAGUGCACUCGAAACUGCAUAGCUAGAGUCCUGGAGAGGAAUGUGGAAUGCUUGGUGUAGAGGUGAAAUUCGUAGAUAUCAAGCGGAACACCGGUGGCGAAGGCGGCCUUCUGGACAGUGACUGACGCUGAGACGCGAAAGCGUGGGGAGCAAACAGG